rnacentral:lncRNA from 1 species
GAGCGAAACAAGGCGGGGCGAGAGCCGACAGGUCUGCCACACGUACCGAAAAAUGCGGCUGGGAAGGACAGUAACGGGAAGAGAAGUUUGCAGCCUGAAGCGGCCUCCAGUGCAUCCUUUCCAAGCCGUGUUUUGAGCCUUGUAAUAAUGUAUUCUUUUCUGGCCCUCCGGGGCUUGUAACGUACAUCUUGUUAGUUGCAAAAUGAGAAGG